rnacentral:rRNA from 1 species
AGUGAACGCUGGCGGUAGGCCUAACACAUGCAAGUCGAACGGCAGCACAGUAAGAGCUUGCUCUUACGGGUGGCGAGUGGCGGACGGGUGAGGAAUACAUCGGAAUCUACUUUUUCGUGGGGGAUAACGUAGGGAAACUUACGCUAAUACCGCAUACGACCUACGGGUGAAAGCAGGGGAUCUUCGGACCUUGCGCGAUUGAAUGAGCCGAUGUCGGAUUAGCUAGGUGGCGGGGUAAAGGCCCACCAAGGCGACGAUCCGUAGCUGGUCUGAGAGGAUGAUCAGCCACACUGGAACUGAGACACGGUCCAGACUCCUACGGGAGGCAGCAGUGGGGAAUAUUGGACAAUGGGCGCAAGCCUGAUCCAGCCAUACCGCGUGGGUGAAGAAGGCCUUCGGAUUGUAAAGCCCUUUUGUUGGGAAAGAAAAGCAGCAGGUUAAUACCCCGCUGUUCUGACGGUACCCAAAGAAUAAGCACCGGCUAACUUCGUG